UCCCCUACGGGACGCAGCAGUGGGGGAUAUUGCACAAUGGGGGAAACCCUGAUGCAGCGACGCCGCGUGGGUGAAGAAGCGCCUCGGCGCGUAAAGCCCUGUCAGCAGGGAAGAAAAUGACGGUACCUGGCUAAGAAGCCCCGGCUAACUACGUGCCAGCAGCCGCGGUAAUACGUAGGGGGCAAGCGUUAUCCGGAUUUACUGGGUGUAAAGGGAGCGUAGACGGACUUGCAAGUCUGAUGUGAAAAUCCGGGGCCCAACCCCGGAACUGCAUUGGAAACUGUAUAUCUAG
rnacentral:rRNA from 1 species